rnacentral:lncRNA from 1 species
CGCUUCACAGAAGUUAGCUGCUUGUCUCCCGAAGGUCACUGCUAGUCCCGAGGAGCAGGUGUCACCAUGAAGGAUUUUAGUGCUUUUCUAGAUACGAGGAGACGCAAGAAUCGGGCUCAUAAAAUCUCCUGAAAGCAUCUAUCUAUCUGAAGACCUGUUCUGCCAGUUUUCCCAGAACACAGGUUUGACUCCAUAGUCAAAUACAGCAGCAAGAAACUCUUCAAAAGAGGCCAUUUGAUAGGGCACAGCAUUUUCAUCUCUGUGGUAAUAGGAGAUGGGGGUUGGAGGCUGCCUCCAUUUCAGCCUUGCAAGGCUCACAGAUAUUAGGGGACCUGUCAGAUGUCACCCUGGGGUAAGUGUCAGAGCCCAAGUCUCUAACCUGUUGAUGUCUGCAGCUCUUUUAAAUCUUUGUACAAACCAACGCCGCAUAGAAUGGUCUUCAAACAGCCAUCACAGCCCUGCUGUGCUUUCUGUGAGUUCGGGAAUCAGACAGAUGCUGGUUGAAAAUGCGGGCUUUGUCGUCUAGCAGCUUUCCCAUCACAGGGCCACACCAGUGGCAUACAGAGGUUCCCAGGGUUAGGGUCAAAUCGGAACUGCAGCUGCUGGCCUACAUCACACCUACAACAAAGCGGAAUCGACCUGUGUCUGCAACCUAUACCACAGCUCACAGCAACACUGGAUCCUUAACCCACCGAGCAAGUCCAAUUUCCAGGAAGAAGAGGGCAAAGAAACCAUGAGACUUAUGGGACAUUUCCACCCCUAGGACCCCUAUUGGACAAGGACUAAUAUUUGGUAACUGGGUAAGGCCAAUGGGAGAAAACCACAUCUUUCUGGACCUCACGUUGGUACCCCUCCCAUCUUUAAGGGAUAAAAACCCCUAUAAGACCAUGGGGGGGGGGCUCUUCUCCCCCUUCUCUAUUAGCUGUCCUGGGAGCUAUUUGCUUUCCAGUAAUGAAGACUUUGCUUGCAUGGAGUUCCCGUCAUGGUGCAGAGGUUAGUGAAUCCGACUAGGAACCAUGAGGUUGCGGGUUUGAUCCUUGGCCUUGCUCAGUGGGUUAAGGAUCCAGCGUUGCCAUGAGCUGUGGUGUAGGUCGCAGACACGGCUCGGAUCCCGAGUUGCUGUGGCUCUGGUGUAGGCUGGUGGCUACAGCUCCGAUUGUACCCCUAUCCUGGGAUCCUCCAUAUGCCAUGAGAGUGGCCCAAGAAAUGGUACAAAGACAAAAAGACCAAAAAAAAAAAAAAAAAA